GAUGAACGCUGGCGGCGUGCCUAAUACAUGCAAGUCGAGCGAAUGGAUUAAGAGCUUGCUCUUAUGAAGUUAGCGGCGGACGGGUGAGUAACACGUGGGUAACCUGCCCAUAAGACUGGGAUAACUCCGGGAAACCGGGGCUAAUACCGGCUAACAUUUUGAACCGCAUGGCUCGAAAUUGAAAGGCGGCUUCGACUGUCACUUAUGGAUGAACCCGCGUCGCAUUAGCUAGUUGGUGAGGUAACGGCUCACCAAGGCAACGAUGCGUAGCCGACCUGAGAGGGUGAUCGGCCACACUGGGACUGAGACACGGCCCAGACUCCUACGAGAGGCAGCAGUAGGGAAUCUUCCGCAAUGGACGAAAGUCUGACGGAGCAACGCCGCGUGAGUGAUGAAGGCUUUCGGGUCGUAAAACUCUGUUGUUAGGGAAGAACAAGUGCUAGUUGAAUAAGCUGGCACCCUGACGGUACCUAACCAGAAAGCCACGGCUAACUACGUGCCAGCCGCCGCAGUAA
rnacentral:rRNA from 1 species